AUGGCCUUUUCGAAGAGAGCUUUCAGUUUUUUAAAGGAUACAUCGUAUACAGUUUCAAAGAACGCGAAGCAUAUUUAUCAGCUAUUGAUAAUAUGUUCAAUGUCGAUCCUCCACAAGUGUAUGGUUUUAAUUCGAAUGCCGAAAUAACUUAUCAAACAAAUACAAUGAGAAAUAUAUUAGAUGAAAUAAUGUCCAUUCAACCCAAAGAAUCCUCAAGCGGAACAUCUGAAACUCGAGAAGAUCGAGUUGCUCGUCAAGUGCGAGAAAUGUUGAGCAAAACUCCCCCAGCGUUCGAUUUAUUUGAAGUUAAGCAGAUCCUCAUAGCGGCUGGGGCCACAAGUUCCAUGAAUAUAUUUCUUCGACAGGAAAUAGAUAGAAUGCAAAGAAUAAUUAUCCUUGUUCGAUCCACAUUUAAAGAUCUGUUGCUAGCAGUGGAAGGAACUAUUAUUAUGAGCGAAAACUUAAGAGAUGCCCUGGAUAAUAUUUUUAAUG